rnacentral:rRNA from 1 species
UAACGACUCUCGGCAACGGAUAUCUCGGCUCUCGCAUCGAUGAAGAACGUAUCGAAAUGCGAUACUUGGUGUGAAUUGCAGAAUCCCGCGAAUCAUCGAGUCUUUGAACGCAAGUUGCGCCCGAAGCCAUUCGGCCGAGGGCACGUCUGCCUGGGUGUCACG